UUUGUUGCUUAGGAAAGGGGAUAGGGCGUUGUGUAAAGACUGUAAAGUCAUCCCGAGUGAGAAUCUUUCGACCCAACAUAGGCUCUUGGUUAUGGAUUUGGGUAUAAAGAAGAAUAGAAAGAGGAGGAGUGAGGAGUGUAGACCGAGAAUUAAGUGGGGCGGUUUGACGCCAGUGAAUGCGUGGGAGAUAGGGGAGAGGUUGGCGGGAAUGGGGGUGUGGGAGUGUAGGGGGGAUGUGGAUAAUAUGUGGGACAGGGCGGCAACGUGCAUCAGGGAGAAUGCCAACAUAGGCUCUUGGUUAUGGAUUUGGGUAUGAAGAAGAAUAAAAAGAGGAGGAGUAAGGAGUGUAGACCGAGAAUUAAGUGGGGCGGUUUGACGCCAGUGAAUGCGUGGGAGAUAGGGGAGAGGUUGGCGGGAAUGGGGGUGUGGGAGUGUAGGGGGG
rnacentral:lncRNA from 1 species